UCGGGGACAGUGCAUGGUAGGCAGUUUGACUGGGGCGGUCUCCUCCCAAAGGGUAACGGAGGAGUACGAAGGUACGCUAGGUACGGUCGGAAAUCGUGCUGAUAGUGCAAUGGCAUAAGCGUGCUUAACUGCGAGACCGACAAGUCGAGCAGGUGCGAAAGCAGGUCAUAGUGAUCCGGUGGUUCUGUAUGGAAGGGCCAUCGCUCAACGGAUAAAAGGUACUCUGGGGAUAACAGGCUGAUACCGCCCAAGAGUUCAUAUCGACGGCGGUGUUUGGCACCUCGAUGUCGGCUCAUCUCAUCCUGGGGCUGUAGCCGGUCCCAAGGGUAUGGCUGUUCGCCAUUUAAAGAGGUACGUGAGCUGGGUUUAAAACGUCGUGAGACAGUUUGGUCCCUAUCUGCCGUGGGCGUUGGAUAUUUGAAGGGGGCUGCUCCUAGUACGAGAGGACCGGAGUGGACGAACCUCUGGUGUACCGGUUGUGACGCCAGUCGCAUCGCCGGGUAGCUAUGUUCGGAAGAGAUAACCGCUGAAAGCAUCUAAGCGGGAAACUCGCCUUAAGAUGAGAUAUCCCUGGAGGCUUGACCUCCUUGAAGGGUCGUUCGAGACCAGGACGUUGAUAGGUCGGGUGUGUAAGCGCAGUAAUGCGUUCAGCUAACCGAUACUAAUUGCCCGUAAGGCUUGAUCCUAUAACA
rnacentral:rRNA from 1 species